GAUGAACGCUGGCGGCGUGCCUAAUACAUGCAAGUCGAGCGAACAGAUGAGGAGCUUGCUCCUCUGACGUUAGCGGCGGACGGGUGAGUAACACGUGGAUAACCUACCUAUAAGACUGAGAUAACUUCGGGAAACCGGAGCUAAUACCGGAUAAUAUAUUGAACCGCAGGGUUCAAUAGUGAAAGCCGUUUUUGCUGUCACUUAUAGAUGGAUCCUCGCCGCAUUAGCUAGUUGGUAAGGUAACGGCUUACCAAGGCAACGAUGCGUAGCCGACCUGAGAGGAUGAUCGGCCACACUGGAACUGAGACACGGUCCAGACUCCUACGGGAGGCAGCAGUAGGGAAUCUUGCGCAAUGGGCGAAAGCCUGACGCAGCAAUGCCGCGUGAGUGAUGAAGGUCUUCGGAUCGUAAAGCUCUGUUAUUAGGGAAGAACAAAUGUGAAAGAAUCCCUGCCCGUUUUGACGUUACCUACUCAGAAAGCCACGGCUAACUUCGUG
rnacentral:rRNA from 1 species